AAUACUUUGUGUAGACAAUUAAUAUGGCCUCCACUAUGUUUUGUCUCCACCGUUUCAAGAGACAUAGCUGUAGCCCAUCACUUUGACACAUAAUUUCAAAGCACUUGUCCUUCUCUUUAUGUGCCUUCAACGUCUUCUUCUCUAGGAACAAUUGAGUUCAUUCACCUCAUUUUGGCCGAGUCUCUGUAUGUAUUGCAGAUGCGUCAUUUUCUUUGCUUUGAUUAUAAUAUUGCCUUGCAGACACCAUACAAGCUGUGGCUCCACGAAAGGCAGAAGCUUUGACAUGUUCUUCUGGGAUUGCUUUGUUCGUGCAAUCCUUUGUGUCAAUUAGCCCUCUCUAUUCACGGCGAUUUGUGAGCUUUGGCAUUCGUUGUCUCCAUCACCUAGGCAGCCUUGCAAUCAUCUUGUGCAGGUACAAGUGCAGGCAGGGAGUUUGACAGCAAGGGCAGGCAAGAACUUUGAUAGCAGAGGCCAUUUCAUCACUGGGAUUUGGUGGACAAGGUUACCAGGAGUACUUCCAAGAGAACAUCAAGGUGGUGCAAGGCCAUUUGUUGCGUUGCGGUGGAAGGGAUUGCAGGAGGUAGAAGGCUUUUGGUGGUGACCGUUGUUGACUUCCAGAACGGAUGGCAUGACACUCCACCGAUUGGUCAUACACUCGUUGAUACACAUGUAUCGUAUACGAGAUUGCGAUCGUUCGGGGAUCUCCAUGGCUCCACAGCGACACCAGUAAAAGAGACCCUGCAAAAAAA